AAUUCUCGGGGUCGGGAGCAUUUCCCAACCGGCGGUGAUGACGAAAGUACGAGUCCGCGAGCUUAGGCAUGAUUUGGUUAGAAUCCAAAACCGACAGUAUAGUCUGGAUGGAAGAGAAG
rnacentral:ncRNA from 1 species